rnacentral:antisense_RNA from 1 species
GUACUCAGGGGAAGGAUUGCUAACAGGGGAAGAGGGAGGUGGCACUUCCACAGAUGUGGCAGAUUUUGCUGGAGAAAACGAUGGCACUGGUGAAGGGGUUGGUGCGGCAGCCUCUGUCAAGAUGAUCUCUUCUCGGACUUCUGCUGUGGAUAGAGAUAGGGACAACAAUCCCUGGUGGGACAGCUUACAUUGGGUGAUGAGUUUCCGGUGCUCAUCGCGAGAGUCUUCCAUGGUGUAAAGGGUUUGCUUGGUGAUGCUGUUCAGGUCCACGUUCCUCCAGUCUUCCAGCAUUUGGAACGUGAUGUCUGCACUGUGGAUCACUGUUCGAGAUGCCUAUAAUCCAAUCCAAUCAACUCGUUAGCUCAUGGGUUGUUAAAACCCUUUCACUGUAUUUCCUUUUAUGCCUUGUUAAUGCAUCUGCUUAUGGUAUUUUGCAAACUACCCUGAAAUUCCCGGAAAUUCAAUUUCAGGAAAGCACCAGAAGACUCUGUAACUCAGAAGACGCAGACACUGUUUUCUCCUAUGGUUCUUUCCACACAUCUCUUUUUCUCUACAAGAAACUACGAGGGUGGGCUAGGCCAGACCAAACCCUGCUGUUUCCAGUCCCUUUGGUCUUGACCCCAUGGAACAAUGGGAUGAAGCCCAGAGAUCUGUCAGCUUUCUGAUGUUAAGUCUGUGGGAUGGGAGCUCUGUGCUGAAUUAUCCUUGUGUCUCUAGUACCUGAGAAGCUGCAGGCUGGGAUUUAGAAGUGUUCUUGCUAUCCCUGGGCCUAACUUAAUCCCAGAAAUUUCAAAGUGUGUAUUUUUCAUA